rnacentral:tRNA from 1 species
UCGAACCUACACCUGGGAGAUCAAAACCCCCUGCAAUUCCAUUUUACCACUUUCUA